CCCCGCCUCCCCGGAAGGCUGUGAGAAAGCCGGUUUGCGGAGGUUACAUGCUCUGAGAUGCUCAACUCUGCUGGACACCAGAUGACAGGACAUGCCCCGUGAGACAUCACCGUAGAACAAGGCACUGGUACAUGCCAGCCGAGGGACAGUCAGUGCCACGGAGGCCAGAGCUGAGGGAGGGCAGAACAAUAGAUGAGUCACAGUACGUGUGUCAUGCUUACUCAAAGGUAUAAUGGGAUUGUUGGGUAACAGUCAGAGCAAUGUCACAAGGCGUGAUGGGCCAAGGGCAUGCCUGGGAGGCUAAGGGCCGGCAUCGGAUUCCCAAGACAAACCUAGAAUGCAGAGUUUAGCUGCACGACUGGAGUUGUGUCCAUCACUCAGACAGAUCCUCAACUGGAAGCUUUGGAAAAAAUUCAAAACCAAACAAAUGCAGACUGAUGAGCUGACUCAGCUACCUGGAAAUUAUCAAUGACUGCACGUGCCCAGCUCUUCUGGACCCUCUGAUGUUCUGUCACAUGGGAGCAAAUGGAGAGCUGGGACAUCCUUUGACCUCAGCCCUCAAAGGUUAGGAAGCGGGCCCCUCCUCCCUCCAAGAAUUCCUUUUCUCCAAGGGUGAUUAACUACCUCAGCCAUCCUUCCA
rnacentral:lncRNA from 1 species